rnacentral:misc_RNA from 1 species
UCCGUCUUAGCGACGGCAGUCCCAUUAGAGUGCUCAGCUCUACCUGAUGGCAACUAAUGGCAAGGGUUGCGCUCGUUGCGGGACUUAACCCAACAUCUCACGACACGAGCUGACGACAGCCAUGCAGCACCUGUCUUUGGGUCCCCCGAAGGGGAGGGCCCUUGUUUCCAAGGGCUUUCCCUCGAUGUCAAGCCCGGGUAAGGUUCUGCGCGUUGCGUCGAAUUAAACCACAUACUCCACCGCUUGUGCGGGCCCCCGUCAAUUCCUUUGAAUUUUAGCCUUGCGGCCAUAGUCCCCAGGCGGAGCACUUAAUGCGUUAGCGUCGGCACUGCAAGGAUCAAUACCCACAACACCUAGUGCUCAUCGUUCACAGCGUGGACUAC